rnacentral:rRNA from 1 species
GUGGGGAAUAUUGGACAAUGGGCGCAAGCCUGAUCCAGCAAUGCCGCGUGUGUGAAGAAGGUCUUCGGAUCGUAAAGCACUUUCGACGGGGACGAUGAUGACGGUACCCGUAGAAGAAGCCCCGGCUAACUUCGUGCCAGCAGCCGCGGUAAUACGAAGGGGGCUAGCGUUGCUCGGAAUUACUGGGCGUAAAGGGCGCGUAGGCGGCUCUGUGAGUCAGGCGUGAAAUUCCUGGGCUUAACCUGGGGACUGCGCUUGAUACUGCAGGGCUUGAGGCCGAGAGAGGGUGGUGGAAUUCCCAGUGUAGAGGUGAAAUUCGUAGAUAUUGGGAAGAACACCGGUGGCGAAGGCGACCACCUGGCUCGGUACUGACGCUGAGGCGCGACAGCGUGGGGAGCAAACAGGAUUAGAAACCCCUGUAGUCC